rnacentral:rRNA from 1 species
UACGAAGGGGGCUAGCGUUGCUCGGAAUGACUGGGCGUAAAGGGCGCGUAGGCGGUUCAUACAGUCAGAUGUGAAAUUCCUGGGCUCAACCUGGGGGCUGCAUUUGAUACGUGUGGACUAGAGUGGGGAAGAGGGUCGUGGAAUUCCCAGUGUAGAGGUGAAAUUCGUAGAUAUUGGGAAGAACACCGGUGGCGAAGGCGGCGAACCUGGUCCUUGACUGACGCUGAGGC